rnacentral:lncRNA from 1 species
CUUUUUGAAAGAAAAGUUAUUAUCUCCCCCAUGGAAACUUCCUACAAACAUAUAUUGCAAUUUUACACAUAUUUUACUGAAUAUGAAAUGUUUUAAUUCACAUAAUGUCUGAUUCUUAUAAAUACUAGAACACACCCGUGAUAUCGCAGGUCCGUGACUGAAUUAAAGUAUAUAACUAUUAUAAACUUAUUUUAGUAUUAGUAUUGUCAUUUGAUAAAGUCAUGCCGAUUAUAAGAUACACAGUUUUCUCCGCUUUCAAAUCUUUCUGUUUGAACCCGUCGAACUGGAACUUAUCAAUUAUUGAUAAUAUUAAUUAUUUGGAAAACAAAAGGUCCUUGAAUGGAGUACUUUUUAAUCAACAGCAUUGUCCUAUAUUAGUCAUAAAUAAAGUUGAAUUCUUUGAUUCGCUGUUUUACGUCAUGCCCGCUAACAAAUUGAAAACUGUACCUAUACGCC